GAUGAACGCUAGCGGCGGGCCUAAUACAUGCAAGUUGAACGGGAUUGUUGGUAGCAAUAUUGACAUGAGAGUGGCGCACGGGUGCGUAACACGUAUGUAACCUACCUUUAACUGGGGCAUAGCUUCGAGAAAUCGAAAUUAAUACCCCAUAACAUUUAGAAAAGGCAUCUUUCUUAUCAAAGCUCAGGCGGUUAAGGAUGGACAUGCGGUGCAUUAGCUUGUGGUGAGGUAACGGCUCACCAAGGCUACGAUGCAGUAGGGGGUCUGAGAGGAUGACUCCCCCACACUGGUACUGAGACACGGACCAGACUCCGUACGGGA
rnacentral:rRNA from 1 species